UCGGUCCCGGUUCACGUCCGUGCGGGCGACCCGGGCC
rnacentral:ncRNA from 1 species